ACGCUCGACACCUACGGGAGCAGCAGUCGGGAAUAUUGCGCAAUGGAGGAAACUCUGACGCAGUGACGCCGCGUGCAGGAAGAAGGUUUUCGGAUUGUAAACUGCUUUAGACAGGGAAGAUAAUGACAGUACCUGUAGAAUAAGCUCCGGCUAACUACGUGCCAGCAGCCGCGGUAAUCUGAGCGGGCUGGCAAGGC
rnacentral:rRNA from 1 species